rnacentral:sRNA from 1 species
GGUGCAUUAAUAAGCACCAUGCAUUGUUAUAAUUUCCAAAGAAAUUGAGGUUUUGUCUGUUAUACCAAACUAUUUUUGGAACUCCUGUUUUAUUUUCAUCUUGAUGUCAUUGUUUAUUUUCACCUUUUGUGUCUUGUUUUGCUGCAUGCUGGCAGCUGCAUCAUGUCUAGUUGUUGUUGUUUAAUUGUUUGAAGACAGCAAACAUGUUUAUUAUUCGACUAAUUCUUUAUCAUUGCUGACAUCUGAACAAUGCAUGCACCUCGGCUAGCUGUCCAUACUAGACGAAUCUACAAUAGAACUAAACACUGCUUCUAAUUAGAGAACGCAUUCACUCCCAACUAUAAAAAAAGAAGAUAUUUGGGAAGAAUGAGAGGGGAUAUUUCAUAUACCGUUGGAAAUCCACGGCCAGCUUAGCAGGUAUACACUUGCUGUCCAUGGACCAACUCGCUUAAUUUUUCUCGUUCUAAUGAAUAUUUCAUUUCCUAUUCCAGUUGGUUUCCAUUUGUGAAGGGAAUCCCACGAAUCGCUAUACUGCAUGCAUAUUUUCUUUUCAGUAUCUUGGUUUUAAUCCCCCCCC